rnacentral:rRNA from 1 species
UACGAAGGGGGCUAGCGUUGCUCGGAAUCACUGGGCGUAAAGCGCACGUAGGCGGAUUGCUAAGUCAGGGGUGAAAUCCUGGAGCUCAACUCCAGAACUGCCUUCGAUACUGGCGAUCUCGAGUUCGGGAGAGGUGAGUGGAACUGCGAGUGUAGAGGUGAAAUUCGUAGAUAUUCGCAAGAACACCAGUGGCGAAGGCGGCUCACUGGCCCGAUACUGACGCUGAGG